AUGAGACUGCUGGGUCUUCUCCUGUGCCUGGUGACAGCCCCCAAAUGUGUCCUGUCUGAGAUACAGCUGCAGGAGUCAGGACUUAGCCUGGUGAAGCCCAAUCAGAUCCUGUCCCUCACCUGUGCUGUGUCUGGUUACUCCAUUACCACUAAUUACUGUUGGGCCAGGGUCUGUCAGCCCACGGGGAAGGGGCUGGAGUCGGUGGGGGAGAUAUGUUAUAAUGGUAACACUUACUACAGCACAUCCCUCAAGAGCCGCACCUCCAUCUCGAGAGACACAUCCCAGAAUGAAUUCUCCAUGCAGCUGAGCUCUGUGACCACAGAGGACACAGCUGUGUAUUACUGUGCAAGAAGCACAGUAAGGGGACUUCAGUGGGAGCGCUGA